GGCAUACAAGCGUCCUGAGGCAUCUAAAAAGAGGCUGCAGCUGCAUGGCAGAAUACACUCAGGCCCAUUGUUUCACUCAUUAGGGCGUCUCUUAUGUAAAAACGGUUAACAAUAGUGGUCAUCCGUGCUUGUAUCAGUGCCAAAUGCCAACCAAAGCACUGCGAUUUGAUAAAUUAUAAUAUUAGUGGCGUGUCAAGAUGCAAAUCACGUGACACGCCGAUCAUUUGAAGGCUGACUUAUGCCGGCUACUUUUUCUAAAUUUGACCAACCAAGGCAACUGAUGUGGACUGCCGUGCUCAGAGCAAGACUGAAAGGGCUUCCCAGUCCUGGUCCUGGAAAGCCGUGAUCUGUCCAGGUUUUGGCUCCAGCCUGGGCUUUAACACCUGAUUGAUCAGGUAUUCUCAUCCUCUGACUGUAAGAAGUUAGGUUAAGACAGUGAUAAGGAGAGGAU